rnacentral:rRNA from 1 species
UACGGAGGGGGCUAGCGUUAUUCGGAUUCAUUGGGCGUAAAGGGUGCGUAGGCGGCGCGGUAAGUCGGGUGUGAAAUCUCGGGGCUUAACUCCGAAACUGCAUUCGAUACUGCCGUGCUUGAGGACUGGAGAGGAGACUGGAAUUUACGGUGUAGCGGUGAAAUGCGUAGAUAUCGUAAGGAAGACCAGUGGCGAAGGCGGGUCUCUGGGCCGAUACUGACGCUGAGGAGCGAAAGCGUGGGGAGCGAACAGG